AGUGAACGCUGGCGGUAGGCCUAACACAUGCAAGUCGAACGGCAGCACAGUAAGAGCUUGCUCUUACGGGUGGCGAGUGGCGGACGGGUGAGGAAUACAUCGGAAUCUACUUUUUCGUGGGGGAUAACGUAGGGGAACUUACGCUCAUACCGCAUACGACCUACGGGUGAAAGCAGGGGAUCUUCUGACCUUGCGCGAUUGAAUGAGCCGAUGUCGGAUUAGCUAGUUGGCGGGGUAAAGGCCCACCAAGGCGACGAUCCGUAGCUGGUCUGAGAGGAUGAUCAGCCACACUGGAACUGAGACACGGUCCAGACUCCUACGGGAGGCAGCAGUGGGGAAUAUUGGACAAUGGGCGCAAGCCUGAUCCAGCCAUACCGCGUGGGUGAAGAAGGCCUUCGGGUUGUAAAGCCCUUUUGUUGGGAAAGAAAAGCAGCAGGUUAAUACCCCGCUGUUCUGACGGUACCCAAAGAAUAAGCACCGGCUAACUUCGUG
rnacentral:rRNA from 1 species